UACGGAGGGUGCAAGCGUUGUUCGGAAUUACUGGGCGUAAAGGGCGCGCAGGCGGCCUGCCAAGUCAGAUGUGAAAUCCCACGGCUUAACUGUGGACGUGCAUUUGAAACUGGCGGGCUUGAGUACCAGAGGGGAAAGUGGAAUUCCCGGUGUAGAGGUGAAAUUCGUAGAUAUCGGGAGGAAUACCGGUGGCGAAGGCGACUUUCUGGCUGGAUACUGACGCUGAGGCGCGAAAGCGUGGGGAGCAAACAGGAUUAGAUACCCUGGUAGUCCACGCCGUAAACGAUGUGAACUAGAUGCAGGGGGUGUUGAUCCCCUCUGUGUCGCAGCUAACGCAUUAAGUUCACCGCCUGGGGAGUACGGUCGCAAGAUUAAA
rnacentral:rRNA from 1 species